UGAUAGCGUUGAAGCGUGAGGUUGCUACGUAAGUAGGUUUUCCGUGGAGCGAAUGUCAAGUUAGGAAACUGGCGACAA
rnacentral:ncRNA from 1 species